CUCAUUUUGCAAGGAGGACCCUUGGUUGCAAUUUCUGGAUCAUUUCUGAAUGAUUCUGAACCAAAAGGAUGUGUAACAAAGGUUAUUUUAAGACCACUCUUGCUCUCUAAUUCCUCAUCUACCCAAAUCAGAUGCAAUUCCAAGCAGAGGGAAUGGAGAAGUGCCUGAACACAGGAAGGACUUCAAUCUCAAGUCAUAAAAAGCAAGA